CAUUUAAUGAUUAAAAAUGACUAACAAUUCAUAAAUAAGUUACAUAAAUUAUUGACAAGCUUUAUAAUUGUACAUUACACCUUUUGACAGGCAAAAUGCAUCCAACCUAUUCUUAAAAGAGUUAAUUGAAGGGCUUGUUCCAUGAUUUUACCGCAUGGAGUGUGAAAAAAUUCUUUCUCUUUUCAGACAGGCAUGUUCUAAGGUAAAGUUUUAAAGAAUUCCCUCGUGUCUCAUACCUAUUGCUCCAAAACUGAAAGUUAGGCUCAACUGUUACAUCAUAUAUUCCCUGUACAUUGGGAAUACCUGUAUUUAUAGAGAUGUGCAGUGGGGGUUCUUAGAAGCACAGAGGUUAAGGAGUCAGACUUGUAACACGGUUGGAUUUCUGACUGGGCCAAAUGUCAUUUACACUAAGUUGCUUCAGAUGAUAUCCCUGUACUCACUGUAAGUCGCUCUGAAAAAUCGUGACUGCUAAAUGACAAAGUACUGUACUGAUUAUUAGAGCAGGAAACCCCUCAGUUGUGUUUUAUAAACUCCUUAAUACACACAAUAGAAAUCAUUUUCAGUUGCUUCAUAUAAGAUGUUAGUUGACAUGUUGACCUUUUUUUAAUUUAUUGCCACAAAAAAAACAGUCUCUUCCCCACCUCCUUGGCGUUAUCUCCUAAUUUAGGCCCUUUGCUUUUCCCUGACCUUGGUUCAUUUCAUAGCAUCCUUUCCUACUUACUUGGUAGUUGGUAGGACAACAAUAGGACAACAAGGUCAUGUGUUCUACAAUAAAAAAAACAAAUGCCAGAAAUGUACAAUACUUCUGCUUUGAUUAACUGACAUCUUCUGUAUUUGUUUCUGUCUGUUGCAGCUCAAGAAGAUGAACUUACAAUUAACCAAGAAUUAAUUAUAUGGAAAAAUAAAGCAAAGAUCCUCCAGGAUCGAGUGGAACAACUCGAGAAUGAUAAAAAGUUUCUCGAGCAGCAACUGGCUGAGAUAACAGCUGAAACUGAGGUGACUGAUGCUGUGCAGCCUGAGGAAAAUGAGGAGAGGCCCCAGCUGACAUCCCAGCAGUCUUUCAACACUGACACCGAUUCCAGCUCCAACUCCGAUUCCAGCUCAGACACCGAUUCCAGCUCAGAGUCCGAUUCCAGCUCAGACUCUGAUUUG